AUGAAAUAAAAUCUAUGUUAACAGCGAGUUAACUGAGGCUGCUGGAGCGAAAAGGACAAAGAAAUGCACAUCAUUUGCAUGUGUUAAUAGGAAUAAGGAAGCUGAAAAAAACAGACCGUGCCCAUACUCCAUCACUGCCAGCACAGCCGCUUGGAGCUGCCCCGACGCUGAUCUACUGACGCUGGCUUUGUGCCAGAGUACAUCCCUCUGUAGGUUCAUCGUUUUGACAAGCAGGGACUCUCAUUAAGCAAGGCUGGGAAAACGGAGACUGGAGAAGCUUGGUUUGCACCAUCUGCACCAGACUUGCUGGGACUUGCUCUGUGCAGACAGUCUCUGUGCACUGGGACGGAGGGACGAAGCAGAGCAGCCCAUGCUGCCCAGUGCUUAUGUGGUCGCUCCAGCUGAGCAAUGCGGUCUCAGAACACAAUUCAUCCUCGUUCAAGUGGCACUCAGGUGUGCGGCUGAUACUUCUGUGCUUUGUGUCAAUAGCAGAGGAAGCACUUUUCUGGCCCUUCUGCCCUGUAGAUAUCCAAGCAUUCUAUUGUGUGACAGAGACCCGAGCUCACCUGUUUCUCAGUCUGGUAAACAUCAAAAC
ensembl:lncRNA